rnacentral:lncRNA from 1 species
GUCUAUCACAAAAUACAGAUACAUCUUGAAAAAUUUGAAAAAUUAAUAAAACUACAUAAGAGUUUGGUGAAAAGUAUUUAAUCUAAUUGUUGAAAUCAAUUCUAUUACCUUUGUUAAAAAUUCACACAUUUCAUCAAAUUACAGUAAAUUAAAUUUAUUACUCUAUUUUCCAAUGAGAAAGUUUUCUAAUUUUUCACAUUCAGACUGACAUUCCAAAAAAUAAUUAGAAAAGUAUACAGCUUCAGUAAGUUAUUCUGACAUUUAAUUAUAUUCCAAUGUUGUCUUUGUGUGAUUUGUUUUAAAAACUUCCAUAUAAGUAAAAAUGGAAAUCUAGGUUUACUGUUAGAUAUCGUAAAAAUCAAUCCGUUCAAUGGUUCAUUUGUCAAUUACAGACUUCGAAUUUGAUUUUAAGGAACAGUAUAUAUUUAGGACAAACUUUCUCAAGCUACACAAAUGAGACGAAGGAGCUUGGUGUAUUGUGAAGGAAUGCCAUAAUUUAUUCUUUGCAAGUGCAUUACACAUUUCUGGUAAAAACAUGAUGGCAAAGUGAUUAUGCAAUGAAAUUUCAUAAAAGUUUACAUACAUAAUAUUAAAACCAUCAAAACAGGUUCUUUCUUCCAUUCAAGUUUGUUUACAGUCUGUCCUACCAAGUGUUCCUUCCAGUUCCCUUUGAAAAAUAAGGGUAGCAGUUGGUAAUUUAAAUUGGAAAAUGAAACUAUUACAUAAAUUAAAAGUAGCACAACUACACAAGUAUAAAAAUUCUGUCAAGUGGUUUUAUCAUUCCUGUUUUAAGUAUGAGAUUAUGGAUGGACAAAACAGAUGAACAAGACAAAAAACAAGAAGUUAACCUAUAAAACUCUAACAGAUGCUGUCUUUAUACUGCAAAUCUCUCAACAACAAUUACUACUUUCAUUCACAAAUUAUAGAUGUGAAAAAAAAUGACUUAUUGUAACCAAUAAACAUGGAAACACUACAUAUAACAUUCUUAUUAUAAACCGCCAAACCCUUACAUGUGGUAGAGUUGACUAAUGAAGUCAAGUGACCUUGGUCAGACAAACAUGUAAACCUUUUAACAAUUCUUUAGGCCAAAUAUAAUUGAUCUUCUUCUUAUCACUCGGUUUAGUUUUAAUGAUCUAACCAACAGAUAUUGUUUUUAGUCAUUAAAUUUAGGCCAAAAUUACACUGAACCAAAAUUUGUGAUGUCGAUCAAAUUUAUAGACAACAGGUAAAAUAAAACUUGAGGUCAGAAAUUUGUGAUUCUAAAUUUUUAAUUGAGUUGAGUUGGACAAAAAAAUAAGAGGGAACAUAAUGAAUUAUUGAUUUAUUUGAUGUUAAUAUUCAUCACUGUUGAGAACCCAUUUCUCAAAAACCUAUCCUUGAGUGUGACCAUGGUAUAAACCAGUUAUUUACAUGCAAGAUGUUGGCCAGGUUUCAUUUCAUUUUUAUUCAAGCUUGACAAUGCUAACAGCUGCAAGGGAUGGCAACUAUGCAAAUUAUGACUAACAAAUAUAUGUAAAAUAAACCUUCUUAAACCUUAAUCAUUCUUUAAUCUUAGUUCAAAUUAAUAUAUGUACCCUCAUUUCAAAAUAUCACAUUAAAUAUACCCCAUCAGUUUUCACAAAUGUGUUUGCUAAAAUACAUUUUAGUUUAUAUCAUAACAAUAUCAGAUAUAAUACAUUUAAUAGUGUUCAAUUUGAUCAUCAAAGUCAAAAUCUUUCCAGUGAUCCCACAAUCAAUCUACUUAAACAGUAUUCUUUGGUGUAUUGAAAUUACUCUUCAUAUUUAUAUCUUUUUUAAUAAUUUGAGCACCUUUAAAAUAUCCUUAAGCUUACAUCUAUAUACCCCUUAUCUAUACUGUGGUAUACAAUUAUUAACCAAGCCUUUAACAGAUUUACACUAACAAUACAUCUUUGAACAUUCUAACUAGAUUCAGUCAUACUGUACUUGUAGUGUAGAAACAGAAAAAAAUAUAUUAAACACAAAUGUAAUGGAUACUUAUUAUUAUAUCUGAAUCAAAGAAUCAUCCUCUAUCCAAAAGGACUUUCUUCAAUUUCAUACAUUUUUCUUUUAAUUUUACUUCACCAUACAUGUCUAAAAUUCCAAACAGUUUUGAGAAAAUCAAGAAAAACAUUUUUUCUUCCCCACAUUCCCAAAUUAUUGUGGAAAGAGCAUAAGGGUAUUUAUUUUUCUAAAUUAUUUAUUUAUUAGUUAUUAUAGGGGGGUACCACUUUUCAGAUCGAUUGCCGUUUAGCUAAAUCAUGUUAAUGAAUUACCAAAACUAAAUUUCCCUUAGUCAUUUUAAAAGUCAACGAAAGAGUCACUUAGUCACUUUUUACUUCUAGUAACACAAUGGGCAUGCACGCUAAAAAUCUUAUGGGUAAUUCCUAAAACUAAAAAUGCAAUAGCUUAAACUUUGUCAAUCUUAUUUACAAAAUACAAUAUAAAAGUUAUUGCUUUUAAUUUAUAUGACUGUGUAGAAUAAAACCUGGAUAUAGAAAAUCAUUUCAUUAAUGUUUCAAGCCUGGUGUCUUAGUUGACAUUUACAACAAUUUUCUUAUAAAAAAUUCUUUAUUUAGUAGAAUUUUUUUCUUUAGAAGCAUCAUUACAUGUUAUUGGGAUUAUACAUUUCAUUGAAAUAGUGUGCUUACAUAAAAUGAGAUUGUCAAGUUAUUAAAAAGCCUCUAACCAUCAACACCCGAGGUUGACAUCGAGUAACAUGAGUAACAUCGCUAUUAGGCAAGUAUAUUUAACAAAUCUUAAAACUGAACCAGAGUAUAAAUUGCUGUAUUAUUGGUACCCAUUAGGAAACACUUUAGGUAUUGGCAUUCUUUUGUCUUUCAAAAUAUUCUUGAUAAUAAUUUAACAUUAACUUUCAAGCCAUUGAAACAAAAAAAUGUCAAGAACAACAGACAUAACAGUCAUGACAGUAUGCCUGACAAAAUUUACACGAUAAGAAAUCUAUAAACUAAUAAGCAUUAUCUACCUUAUAAAUUAUAUAUAUAAAGCAUUUAUAAAAUUAAGUUACCAGUUGCUUAAAUAGCAAAUGGUUGUCUUGCCUUUCCUUAGCAUUUAUUGUGAUGAGGCAAUAAGUAUCUUUAACUUUUAAAGAAGGUUUCUUAGAAUCCAUUCAUUUUCACAUGAAAUAUUGUAAUAAAAA